rnacentral:rRNA from 1 species
ACAGAUGGGAGCUUGCUCCCUGAUGUUAGCGGCGGACGGGUGAGUAACACGUGGGUAACCUGCCUGUAAGACUGGGAUAACUCCGGGAAACCGGGGCUAAUACCGGAUGGUUGUCUGAACCGCAUGGUUCAGACAUAAAAGGUGGCUUCGGCUACCACUUACAGAUGGACCCGCGGCGCAUUAGCUAGUUGGUGAGGUAACGGCUCACCAAGGCGACGAUGCGUAGCCGACCUGAGAGGGUGAUCGGCCACACUGGGACUGAGACACGGCCCAGACUCCUACGGGAGGCAGCAGUAGGGAAUCUUCCGCAAUGGACGAAAGUCUGACGGAGCAACGCCGCGUGAGUGAUGAAGGUUUUCGGAUCGUAAAGCUCUGUUGUUAGGGAAGAACAAGUGCCGUUCAAAUAGGGCGGCACCUUGACGGUACCUAACCAGAAAGCCACGGCUAACUACGUGCCAGCAGCCGCGGUAAUACGUAGGUGGCAAGCGUUGUCCGGAAUUAUUGGGCGUAAAGGGCUCGCAGGCGGUUUCUUAAGUCUGAUGUGAAAGCCCCCGGCUCAACCGGGGAGGGUCAUUGGAAACUGGGGAACUUGAGUGCAGAAGAGGAGAGUGGAAUUCCACGUGUAGCGGUGAAAUGCGUAGAGAUGUGGAGGAACACCAGUGGCGAAGGCGACUCUCUGGUCUGUAACUGACGCUGAGGAGCGAAAGCGUGGGGAGCGAACAGGAUUAGAUACCCUGGUAGUCCACGCCGUAAACGAUGAGUGCUAAGUGUUAGGGGGUUUCCGCCCCUUAGUGCUGCAGCUAACGCAUUAAGCACUCCGCCUGGGGAGUACGGUCGCAAGACUGAAACUCAAAGGAAUUGACGGGGGCCCGCACAAGCGGUGGAACAUGUGGGUUAAUUCGAAGAACGCGAAGAACCUUACCAGGGCUUGACUCCUCUGA